rnacentral:tRNA from 1 species
GAGACACUAGUAAAAUAGGUUCAUUACACUGCCUUGUCAAGGCAGAAUUGUGGGUUUGAAUCCCUCGCGUCUCG